AUGAAUUGCCUCAGCUGGAACUGCCUCGGGCUUGGGAACCCAACGGCAAUUCGAGAGCUUCGCAACAUCUUGAAGCAGGAAGGGCCCGGUCUCCUCUUUCUGAUGGAGACAAAAAUUUCGGCAAAACGAGUUGAAAACUUGAAGACCACACUCGGUUUCACAGGCUGUUUCGCUGUAAGCAGUGAGGGAUUGAGUGGAGGAGUUGCAGUAUUCUGGUCAGCCGAUGUCAAGGUUGAGCUCAAGAACUAUAGUUCUGGCCAUAUUGAUGUGAUGGUGCAGACAAGUGUGUUGGAAAUAUGCCCUAGAGGCAAUAAUAAAAGUAUUAUUAUUAUAUUUCCUUGUUCAUGA
rnacentral:rRNA from 1 species